GCCAUUUUCCAUGUGCCUUGCUGGGGGCGAAUUUGCGCCCCUCAAGCAGAGAGAGCAGCUAUUUUGAAAGUGACCCCUCAUUCAGGCAUCGACUGUGCAGCUGUCAGGAACCAUGACUGAAGAUGACGGAUUCUGUUGUCGUGGAGGGAUAUGCAAGACUCAGAGAUGGGAAAAAGUGGAAAACUAGGUGGCUGGUUCUUCGCAAGCCUUCGCCUGUAGCAGACUGCCUCUUGUUGCUGGUUUUUAAAGACAAGUCCGACAAAGCGCAGGGCAACAAAGAGAGGGCCAGUGUCACCUUGGAGGAGAUCUGCGGUGUGGAAGCGGGACAGUGGUAUGAAGGUGUAGCUUUCACUCUGGCCAUCCUCUGUCUGAACCAGGCUGCUCUACUGGGCUUCGACAGCAAGGAGGCCCUGCAGGCGUGGGACGCCCGCCUACGAUACAGCCUCGGUGAAGUUCACAGAUUCAGUGUUGGAAUCCUACCAGGGACCAAGUUGGAGAGUGGACCUGCAACUCUUCAUUUGUGCAACAACUUGCUGGCUCUCGCCAGGGACGUCCCUCCUGUUAUUAUUGGCCACUGGAACCUUCCAGACCUGCGCAGAUAUGGGCCUGUACCCAAUGGAUUUGUAUUCGAGGGAGGGACAAGAUGUGGUUACUGGGCCGGUGUGUUUUUGCUCGCGUCUGCUGAGAGUGAGCAGAUCAGCUUUCUAUUCGACUGCAUCGUCCGAGGCAUCUCCCCCACCAGAGGCCCUUUUGGACUGCGUCCAGUUUUGCCAGCAGACCCCAGUGCCAGUCAGACGAAUUUGGAGGAGAAGUUGAACCAUGAGGCUCAGGAGCUGGAGAAACGACUAAGCAUGCUCUCUCAUAGGAGCAGCACAGUCUCGUCCUCGUCUGCUGGAGGAGAUGACCGCAGCAUAUCCGGUUCCUCCGACGCGUCAGACACGAGCCAGUCGGACUGCAGCAUUGGCAGCCGGAUGGCCAUUUGGACUGACCCGUCCUCCAACCCGUCUGAAAAUGUCAGCCAUGUGGGAGCUAAAGUGGUGUUGCAGAGCAUCGAGAAGCUUUCCGUCAACCAGGGAGGUGGAAACCGGCCCGCUGCCAUGCCCCCCCGGCAGCUUCAGGAGAUCGGCCGUCAGAGCUCGGCCGACAGCGGCAUCGCCUCCGGCAGCCAUUCCUCAUACUCUGGAAGUUUCUCCUCCUACACAGGCAGCCUGGAUAUCACUCCCGGGGAGGACUUUGGGUCUGUUUUCAGCUUGCCUCCCCACUUGGCCCAAGACCUGAGCCCUUGUACUUGCACAGCUGUACCUGCACAUGAAUACCAAGUACCAACAUCCCUUAGGUAUCUCUAUGAGAGCCCCAAGAGUCUGUUACAGGAGGGAAGUGGGGGGGCCACUGCCAAGGACAAUGAAGCCGCCACCUUAACUAAGGACACCCCUCUCUCUUCAGGCCUCACAACAGACUCAGCAAAGGGGGAUAAAAGCAGCGCCUUGACCUCUGAGGGUCGCUCAGAACCGACUGACAGACAGUCAGUGAGUGAACACUUACAAGGCUCCUCAGAGGAGAGUAAGACAACGAAGGUGACGCCCUCUAGUGAACACCCAGACUCCUGUCACAUGUGCAGCUCUCUUACAUCUGUCUCCAAAACCAUUGUGACAAUCUGCUCAGUUUGUGGUGGAUUUAAGGGGACACCGUACGUCCCUGGUAGUGGUUCAGCGAUACCUGCCAUACCAGCAGAUCAAAGUGUUGACAAAUCACCAUGCGGACCAUGCACUGCCAGUGAAUACACUAAUGGCGUGAAGGAAAGUCUGGCGAAACACUGUGCCUCUCCUGGCUCCGGAAACAUCCAAAUCUCAGAGACGCCAACAGUGAGCACAGGUGAGGAUUCACCGCUGCCAGAAAAGGGAAGAGAGAAAUUAGCCAGUCUCCUCGCUGAUCUGUUAGGCUCUCCAAGCGCAGAUAGGCAGCCCGAGGCAAAGACUAACAGACUGAACCUGUAUGAGUCAAUGAGCCCUAGAUUUGGAAACAAACUCAAAUCGGCACCAACCGGCUGUUUACCAUUACAAGAUUCCCAGCAAGACAAAAGAGCUGCCAUUUAUGAGAACUGUUUAAAGUGUCAAGGAGAGCACUGCCACCCUCCCCCACGGGUCGCACCUCCUGAAAUGUACCGCAACAGGAACUUUUUCACGUUCCAAACCUUGCCAACUGGGCCGCACCUGAAGAAAAGCGAAGAACACGAAGUCGCCGCUAAUGAGGAACCGCUGUGUCACGCUCCCAGUGAUGGAUCACGGAGCCGCGGACGGGCAGUGUCCGUAUGAAGAGACGAAUGGCCUGACGGUGGCCAGUGAAGACAAAAGGCUUAAGAGUAGAGAGGAAAGACGCAGAGCUGAUCCUGCUUAUGAGAUCAUGGAGAGUCGGGCACCGGAGAGGUACUCGGAGGCAGAAGAGAAAAGAAAGUACGAGCCGAUGGGCAGCUGUGGUC